GGCACAUGCGCAGGAUCGUCGUGGCGCAAGGCUCUCUACUUCCUCGGUUCCAGUCCCCGCUGUGUCUUGCGCUCCUGUGUGUGCCUGCGUGGCCCCUGUGCGGCAGUGGAGGUGGUCAGCUUUCGGACACUACUCCGGUGACACACUAGUGAUGAAACAAAUCAGGGACUAUCUUAAGAGUUUCGUAAAAACAAGACAAAAACCGCUUUUAACUAAACUCCAAGCCACCGAGUGCGCCUUCGAGCCCUGGGUGGCCGCUCAGGAACUUAAAACCGCGUAUCGCUGUCGUGCUCUCGCCCUCCGCCAGCGCCUCCCAGAUCUGUCACACCUAAGCCUAGAACCAUCUCACGAGGAAAGAAAGCAGAUUAGUAGAGCCCCCCAGAGACCAGGACUGCAGGACUACAAGGACACACGCUGGACACAAGGCCGUUUCUACAGUGCUCAUUCACUGUAAACUGUUAGCCACUGGGGUGAUAAAGAGAUAGAAGAUUGAAGCUUUGCUUACCUCAUACCUCAGCUGGAAUUCCUGAUAUGGGCAACAUUUAUUUUGUAUUAUGCAAGUUUUUUAGUUCCUAGGGAGGAGAAGGAAGAGGAAAAAGAACGUGGAGGAAGAAGGAAAAGGAAGAAGAGGAAGAAGAAAAAUAGACACUAUCAG
ensembl:lincRNA Gm27017 predicted gene, 27017